rnacentral:lncRNA from 1 species
UAGUAUUGCAGUGUGCUUUAACAAGCAUGGGCUUUGACAUCAGACAUUUGUUGCCAUCUGGACUCCACAAGUGAAUUUGCUACGGGAUUUGGAGGAGGGAAAGGCACUGUUUCCAUACCUCAGUGGUUUUCUCAUCUGCAAAAUAGGUAUGUGAUUGCAUGGAUUGACUUAUGUGAUGAAUAUAAAGUUGUUCAUUAGUACAGUACCUGUCAUAUUAAGUACUCAAUAAAUGCUAGUUAUUAUUAAUGCUGUGUUUUAGGUGUUCAGUAAAUAGUUGCCAUAAUGCUUAAAGCAGACAUAACUUGUUUUUAUUUUAGCAAUAAAGAUGAUGCCAACUUUUUGGUUUAAUGGAAAUGCUUUGAAUCUUUGAUAUUGUUGUAAUAUAGUGGCAAAGAAUUUUGAAUCCCAGCUUCUGGAGCUCAUAUCUUGAUUCUGCGAGUUACUUCGCUGUGUUACUUUGGGGGAAGUUAUUAAUCUCUCUGUGCCUCAGUUUCCUCAGUCAACUAAAUUGAAAUUAUAAUAGCACCUACCUGAUAGGAUUGUUGAGACUAAAUGAGGUAACAAUUUAAAAAUAAGCUAAUACCUGAUAAUUAGUUCUAUAUAUGUAUUGAUUGGUCUAAACGUUAUUUCCAUUUUCAUGUCUUUACUUAAAAUACUGAAAAUUAAUUUUUUAUAGCUUUGUUUUUCAGUUCCAUGAAAUCAGCCUGCCUUUUCUUUUUUUGGUGAUGCAUCCACAUUCUGUAUAGGUAAAAAGCAAAACAAACAAGUAUAAAACGAGAAUUAUGUAAGAAGUACACACAUCCUAGCAGCUUGGCAAGUGUCUGUAUGCUCUUGCCUGUGCCUAAAUCCAGAAUUAGAAUUCAUGUUUGGUGCUCCUGUGGAAGAUGUCUAAAUGUUAUGAGAAAUACAUGAUUAAAUAAAAAUGUGAAAUGAAAGCAUGGAGACUUGUUGAAGGAUAUUAUGAAGAAUACAGAUGAACUGCCAGAAAGACAAGG